UACCUGGUGGUCCAGUGGCCAAUAUUCUGCACUCCCAACGCAGGGGGCCCAGGUUCCAUUCCUGGUCAGGGAA
rnacentral:tRNA from 1 species